GCUAGGUGAGGUGGUGCACGCCUGUAGUCCCAGCUACUCGGGAGGCUGAGAUGGGAGGAUCACCUGAGCCCAGGAGGUUGAGACUGUAGUGAGCUGUGAUUGUACCACUGCACUCCAGCCUGGGCAACAGAGUGAGACCCUAUCUCAA
rnacentral:sRNA from 1 species